rnacentral:rRNA from 1 species
GACCAUCAGCUAAGGUCCCGAAAUAAUUGCUAAGUUGAACUAACGAAGUCAGAUUGCUAAGACAGCUAGGAUGUUGGCUUGGAAGCAGCCAUUCAUUUAAAGAGUGCGUAACAGCUCACUAGUCGAGGAGUUUGGCGUGGAUAAUAAUCGGGCAUUAAGCAAUUUACCGAAGCUAUGGGAUCAGUAAUGAUCGGUAGGGGAGCAUUCCACUCUGCGUCGAAGGUGAAGCGUGAGCUUUGCUGGAGCGUGUGGAAAAGCAAAUGUAGGUAUAAGUAACGAUAAAGGGGGUGAGAAACCCCCUCGCCGAAAGACUAAGGUUUCCUGAUCAACGCUAAUCGGAUCAGGGUUAGUCGGGUCCUAAGGCUCAGCCGAACGGUGAGGCCGAUGGCAGAACAGGUUAAUAUUCCUGUACUACCUUAAAGAGUGACGUGGAGACGGAGGAGUGACAGCGCCGCGGACUGACGGAAUAGUCCGUUGAAGGGUGUAGAUGUUGAUUAUCCCAGGCAAAUCCAGGAUAAGAGUCGAACCUGAUAGUAUACCAAAUUCUUCGGAAUAAGGUAAUAGUGCGUGUAAGCAUACUCCCAAGAAAAUCCGCUAAACUUAAUCUUUAAGGUACCCGUACCGCAAACGGACACACGUAGUCGGGUUGAAUAUACUAAGGCGCUUGAGUGAUUCACGGUUAAGGAACUAGGCAAAUUGACCCUGUAACUUCGGGAUAAAGGGUCCCAACGAGAGUUGGGCGCAGAGAAUAGGUCCAGGCAACUGUUUAACAAAAACACAGGGCUGUGCAAAAUUGAAAGAUUACGUAUACAGCCUGACACCUGCCCGGUGCUGGAAGGUUAAGAGGAGAUGUCAUCGCAAGAGAAGCAUUGAAUUGAAGCCCCAGUAAACGGCGGCCGUAACUAUAACGGUCCUAAGGUAGCGAAAUUCCUUGUCGGGUAAGUUCCGACCUGCACGAAUGGUGUAAUGAUCUGGACACUGUCUCAACCGUGAGCUCAGUGAAAUUGUAGUAUCGGUGAAGAUGCCGAUUACCCGCGAUGGGACGAAAAGACCCCGUGAACCUUUACUAUAGCUUAACAUUGAAUUUGGGUAAUUGAUGUGUAGGAUAGGCCGGAGACUUUGAAGCAGGUACGCCAGUAUUUGUGGAGUCGCUGUUGAAAUACGGCCCUUUGAUUAUUUGAGUUCUAACUCGUAGAUACGAGGACACUGUUUGGUGGGUAGUUUGACUGGGGUGGUCGCCUCCAAAAGUGUAACGGAGGCUUCUAAAGGUGCCCUCAGGACGAUUGGUAACCGUCCGUAGAGUGUAAUGGCAUAAGGGCGCUUGACUGGGAGACAGACAAGUCGAUCAGGUAGGAAACUAGAGCAUAGUGAUCCGGUGUUUCCGUAUGGAAGGGACAUCGCUCAAAGGAUAAAAGGUACUCCGGGGAUAACAGGCUGAUCCCUCCCAAGAGCUCAUAUCGACGGAGGGGUUUGGCACCUCGAUGUCGGCUCGUCACAUCCUGGGGCUGGAGAAGGUCCCAAGGGUUGGGCUGUUCGCCCAUUAAAGUGGCACGCGAGCUGGGUUCAGAACGUCGUGAGACAGUUCGGUCUCUAUCUAUCGUGGGCGUAUGAAAUUUGCGUGGCUCUGACACUAGUACGAGAGGACCGUGUUGGACUGACCGCUGGUUUACCAGUUGUGCCGCCAGGUGCAUUGCUGGGUAUCUAAGUCGGGAUUGGAUAAGUGCUGAAAGCAUCUAAGUACGAAGCCAGCCACAAGAUUAGAUUUCUUAGGGUCGUCAAAGACGAUGACGUUGAUAGGAUGCAGGUGUAAAGGUGGUAACAUCAAAGCCGAGCAUUACUAAUUGCCCGUUCACUUUCUUUC